GCAAGUCGAACGGCAGCACAGAAGAGCUUGCUCUUUGGGUGGCGAGUGGCGGACGGGUGUAGUAAUGUCUGGGAAACUGCCCGAUGGAGGGGGAUAACUACUGGAAACGGUAGCUAAUACCGCAUAACGUCGCAAGACCAAAGUGGGGGACCUUCGGGCCUCACACCAUCGGAUGUGCCCAGAUGGGAUUAGCUAGUAGGUGGGGUAAUGGCUCACCUAGGCGACGAUCCCUAGCUGGUCUGAGAGGAUGACCAGCCACACUGGAACUGAGACACGGUCCAGACUCCUACGGGAGGCAGCAGUGGGGAAUAUUGCACAAUGGGCGCAAGCCUGAUGCAGCCAUGCCGCGUGUAUGAAGAAGGCCUUCGGGUUGUAAAGUACUUUCAGCGGGGAGGAAGGCGGUGAGGUUAAUAACCUUGCCGAUUGACGUUACCCGCAGAAGAAGCACCGGCUAACUCCGUGCCAGCAGCCGCGGUAAUACGGAGGGUGCAAGCGUUAAUCGGAAUUACUGGGCGUAAAGCGCACGCAGGCGGUCUGUUAAGUCAGAUGUGAAAUCCCCGGGCUUAACCUGGGAACUGCAUUUGAAACUGGCAGGCUUGAGUCUCGUAGAGGGGGGUAGAAUUCCAGGUGUAGCGGUGAAAUGCGUAGAGAUCUGGAGGAAUACCGGUGGCGAAGGCGGCCCCCUGGACGAAGACUGACGCUCAGGUGCGAAAGCGUGGGGAGCAAACAGGAUUAGAUACCCUGGUAGUCCACGCCGUAAACGAUGUCGACUUGGAGGUUGUGCCCUUGAGGCGUGGCUUCCGGAGCUAACGCGUUAAGUCGACCGCCUGGGGAGUACGGCCGCAAGGUUAAAACUCAAAUGAAUUGACGGGGGCCCGCACAAGCGGUGGAGCAUGUGGUUUAAUUCGAUGCAACGCGAAGAACCUUACCUGGCCUUGACAUCCAGAGAACUUAGCAGAGAUGCUUUGGUGCCUUCGGGAACUCUGAGACAGGUGCUGCAUGGCUGUCGUCAGCCUCGUGU
rnacentral:rRNA from 1 species